rnacentral:rRNA from 1 species
GACGAACGCUGGCGGCGUGCUUAACACAUGCAAGUCGAACGGAAAGGCCCUGCUUUUGUGGGGUGCUCGAGUGGCGAACGGGUGAGUAACACGUGAGUAACCUGCCCUUGACUUUGGGAUAACUUCAGGAAACUGGGGCUAAUACCGGAUAGGAGCUCCUGCUGCAUGGUGGGGGUUGGAAAGUUUUGGCGGUUGGGGAUGGACUCGCGGCUUAUCAGCUUGUGGGUGGGGUAGUGGCUUACCAAGGCUUUGACGGGUAGCCGGCCUGAGAGGGUGACCGGCGUCAUUGGGACUGAGAUACGGCCCAGACUGCUACGGGAGGCAGCAGUGGGGAAUAUUGCACAAUGGGCGGAAGCCUGAUGCAGCAACGCCGCGUGCGGGAUGACGGCCUUCGGGUUGUAAACCGCUUUCGCCUGUGACGAAGCGUGAGUGACGGUAAUGGGUAAAGAAGCACCGGCUAACUACGUG